AAUAAGCGGAGGAAAAGAAACCAACAGGGAUUGCCCUAGUAACGGCGAGUGAAGCGGCAACAGCUCAAAUUUGAAAUCUGGCCCUAGGCCCGAGUUGUAAUUUGCAGAGGAUGCUUUUGGCAAAGCGCUUACCGAGUCCCCUGGAACGGGGCGCCACAGAGGGUGAGAGCCCCGUAUGGUAUGACGCCGAGCCUCUGUAAAGCUCCUUCGACGAGUCGAGUAGUUUGGGAAUGCUGCUCUAAAUGGGAGGUAAAUUUCUUCUAAAGCUAAAUACCGGCCAGAGACCGAUAGCGCACAAGUAGAGUGAUCGAAAGAUGAAAAGCACUUUGAAAAGAGGGUUAAAUAGCACGUGAAAUUGUUGAAAGGGAAGCGCUCGUGACCAGACUUGCGCCGGGCGGAUCAUCCAGCGUUCUCGCUGGUGCACUCCGCCCGGCUCAGGCCAGCAUCGGUUUUCGCCGGGGGACAAAAGCUUCGGGAACGUGGCUCCCUUCGGGGAGUGUUAUAGCCCGUCGUUUAAUACCCCGGCGGGGACCGAGGACCGCGCUUCGGCAAGGAUGCUGGCGUAAUGGUCAUCAGCGACCCGUCUUGAAACACGGACCGAGGAGUCAAGCAUUAGUGCGAGUGUUUGGGUGUAAAACCCGCACGCGUAAUGAAAGUGAACGUAGGUGAGAGCUUCGGCGCAUCAUCGACCGAUCCUGAUGUUUUCGGAUGGAUUUGAGUAGGAGCAUUAACGCUUGGACCCGAAAGAUGGUGAACUAUACUUGAAUAGGGUGAAGCCAGAGGAAACUCUGGUGGAGGCUCGCAGCGGUUCUGACGUGCAAAUCGAUCGUCAAAUUUGAGUAUAGGGGCGAAAGACUAAUCGAACCAUCUAGUAGCUGGUUACCG
rnacentral:rRNA from 1 species